GACGAAAUCACGAAAGGGACAACUCGCACUUUGUUUGUUUACAUUAGGAGUGAAUUUGACGUCAGUUUGACGUCUAUUUGACGUCGGUGACAUGUUUGGUCUUUGAUGAACUUUGGUGAAACCUGCCGGCCUGCCGGCCGGCGCAAUAAUAAGAUAACCUCAAUCUUGUCUGUCUGAGAUCAAGAGUUCGAGCUUUAUCAUGUACACAAUUAUCUCAACUUUUAAUCUCAAUUAGCUAUGACUUGAUAACUUCGUUGCUGUCCAUGACCUCACCAAUCUGGAGAUAGCUGUUGACUGCGGAUUUAAUGAUUCUGACCAUGGUAAAGGAGGAAGUAAUUGAUUUGAAACCUUCAAUCCUGAAAUUAGAACAUGAACUUAUCCUGGAUGACCAUGAAGAGACAGGCAACGCUGGUGGCAGCAUGGGCUCAAAAAUUCUUAGGCCAACAAAGAAUCAACGUUGCAGACAAGAUUCAAAUAAAAGCACUAACCAAAAAAAGCUCCACAAAGAAGUUGGGUCUAUUCCCUAUCGUUAUUCUGGAAAGGCUCGAUCUUUCAUCGUUAAAGAGUCUUCAAUUAAAGAUCAAAACCUCUGCAUCUAGUGAUAAGAGUGGACCUGAGAAAAGCUUACGGAUAAAAGAAGAACCAGUGGAUAUUGCGGACCUUCAUGCAGAUUUUGUGAUGAACUCUCGUCAAAAAUUUCAAUUGGAACCAGCUCCUACACCAUCUGCGAUGAUCAUUCAAAAUCUUCGCUCGAUGUUGUCGAGAAGA
rnacentral:lncRNA from 1 species